rnacentral:ncRNA from 1 species
CCGGUCCUACUCCAUUCCCAUAGGCCGGAGGAGUCGAAAAAAGGAGGAAAAUCCGCCGGGCCGGCGGUGCGGCAGUGUGGAGACCUGUCGUAACGUUCCGGGAGUUUCACUCUCCCGGAGCAAGAGGGUAUUUGCGGAGGCAUUGCCCUUACGGUCCAUACAUAUGGCA